rnacentral:rRNA from 1 species
CCUACGGGAGGCAGCAGUGGGGAAUUUUGCGCAAUGGGCGAAAGCCUGACGCAGCGACGCCGCGUGAGGGAUGAAGGUCUUCGGAUCGUAAACCUCUGUCAGCAGAGAAGAACGGUCACUGGGCUAAUCAGUAGUGCCUUGACGGUACCUGCACAGGAAGCACCGGCUAACUACGUGCCAGCAGCCGCGGUAAUACGGAGGGUGCGAGCGUUAAUCGGAAUUACUGGGCGUAAAGCGCUCGCAGGCGGUAUGUCAAGUCAAGGGUGAAAGCCCCGCGCUCAACGGGGGAACGGCAUUUGAAACUGGCAAACUUGAGUGUGGGAGAGGAGAGUGGAAUUCCAGGUGUAGGAGUGAAAUCCGUAGAUAUCUGGAGGAACAUCAGUGGCGAAGGCGACUAUCUGGCACAUAACUGACGCUGAGGAGCGAAAGCGUGGGUAGCAAACAGGAUUAGAUACCCUUGUAGUC